rnacentral:rRNA from 1 species
AUGAACGCUAGCGACAGGCCUAACACAUGCAAGUCGAGGGGCAGCACAAGGAGCAAUCUGAGGUGGCGACCGGCGCACGGGUGAGUAACACGUAUGCAACCUGCCUGUAAGCGGGGAAUAACCCGUCGAAAGACGGACUAAUACCGCAUAAUACUAAAUUACUGCAUGGUAAUUUAUUUAAACAUUUAUGGCUUACAGAUGGGCAUGCGCAUGAUUAGCUAGUUGGAGAGGUAACGGCUCCCCAAGGCAACGAUCAUUAGGGGUUCUGAGAGGAAGGUCCCCCACACUGGUACUGAGACACGGACCAGACUCCUACGGGAGGCAGCAGUGAGGAAUAUUGGUCAAUGGACGAGAGUCUGAACCAGCCAAGUCGCGUGCAGGAAGAAUGUUCCCUAUGGAUUGUAAACUGUCUUUUGCAGGGGAAUAAAGUGCAUCACGUGUGAUGUUUUGUAUGUACUCUGCGAAUAAGGAUCGGCUAACUCCGUGCCAGCCGCUGC